rnacentral:SRP_RNA from 1 species
GUCAGGCGCAUGGCUCAUGUCUGUAGUCCCAGCUACUUGGGAGGCUGAGGUGGGAGGAUCGCCUGAGCCCAGGACUUCUGGGCUGUAGUGCGCUAUGCCGAUCGGGUGUCUGCACUAAGUCUGGCAUCAAUAUGGUGACCUCCCGGGAGCCGGGGACCACCAGGUUGCCUAAGGCGGGGUGAACUGGCCCAGGUUGGAAAUGGAGCAGGUCAAAACUCCCGUGCUGAUCAGUAGUGGGAUCAAGCCUGUGAAUAGCCACUGCACUCCAGCCUGGGUAACAUAGCGAGACCCCAUCUCU